rnacentral:rRNA from 1 species
AGAGUUUGAUCAUGGCUCAGAUUGAACGCUGGCGGCAGGCCUAACACAUGCAAGUCGAACGGUAACAGGAAGCAGCUUGCUGUUUCGCUGACGAGUGGCGGACGGGUGAGUAAUGUCUGGGAAACUGCCUGAUGGAGGGGGAUAACUACUGGAAACGGUAGCUAAUACCGCAUAACGUCGCAAGACCAAAGAGGGGGACCUUCGGGCCUCUUGCCAUCGGAUGUGCCCAGAUGGGAUUAGCUUGUUGGUGGGGUAACGGCUCACCAAGGCGACGAUCCCUAGCUGGUCUGAGAGGAUGACCAGCCACACUGGAACUGAGACACGGUCCAGACUCCUACGGGAGGCAGCAGUGGGGAAUAUUGCACAAUGGGCGCAAGCCUGAUGCAGCCAUGCCGCGUGUAUGAAGAAGGCCUUCGGGUUGUAAAGUACUUUCAGCGGGGAGGAAGGGAGUAAAGUUAAUACCUUUACUCAUUGACGUUACCCGCAGAAGAAGCACCGGCUAACUCCGUGCCAGCAGCCGCGGUAAUACGGAGGGUGCAAGCGUUAAUCGGAAUUACUGGGCGUAAAGCGCACGCAGGCGGUUUGUUAAGUCAGAUGUGAAAUCCCCGGGCUCAACCUGGGAACUGCAUCUGAUACUGGCAAGCUUGAGUCUCGUAGAGGGGGGUAGAAUUCCAGGUGUAGCGGUGAAAUGCGUAGAGAUCUGGAGGAAUACCGGUGGCGAAGGCGGCCCCCUGGACGAAGACUGACGCUCAGGUGCGAAAGCGUGGGGAGCAAACAGGAUUAGAUACCCUGGUAGUCCACGCCGUAAACGAUGUCGACUUGGAGGUUGUGCCCUUGAGGCGUGGCUUCCGGAGCUAACGCGUUAAGUCGACCGCCUGGGGAGUACGGCCGCAAGGUUAAAACUCAAAUGAAUUGACGGGGGCCCGCACAAGCGGUGGAGCAUGUGGUUUAAUUCGAUGCAACGCGAAGAACCUUACCUGGUCUUGACAUCCACGGAAGUUUUCAGAGAUGAGAAUGUGCCUUCGGGAACCGUGAGACAGGUGCUGCAUGGCUGUCGUCAGCUCGUGUUGUGAAAUGUUGGGUUAAGUCCCGCAACGAGCGCAACCCUUAUCCUUUGUUGCCAGCGGUCCGGCCGGGAACUCAAAGGAGACUGCCAGUGAUAAACUGGAGGAAGGUGGGGAUGACGUCAAGUCAUCAUGGCCCUUACGACCAGGGCUACACACGUGCUACAAUGGCGCAUACAAAGAGAAGCGACCUCGCGAGAGCAAGCGGACCUCAUAAAGUGCGUCGUAGUCCGGAUUGGAGUCUGCAACUCGACUCCAUGAAGUCGGAAUCGCUAGUAAUCGUGGAUCAGAAUGCCACGGUGAAUACGUUCCCGGGCCUUGUACACACCGCCCGUCACACCAUGGGAGUGGGUUGCAAAAGAAGUAGGUAGCUUAACCUUCGGGAGGGCGCUUACCACUUUGUGAUUCAUGACUGGGGUGAAGUCGUAACAAGGUAACCGUAGGGGAACCUGCGGUUGGAUCACCU